CUCAGUGGUCAGCGGAAACUUGAUGAUAGCAUAGUGGUCAAGCUUGUUUCUCCUGGGAGCGCUCUUCCGAGGAUAUUUGGGCUGUCUCCAGAGUCGCAGUGUCUUCGGCUGCCGGAAGGUAAGGAACCUGCUGCGCGUGAGAUCCCAUUACCAAGUAAAGGGUCACUGAAAGGCGAUAACAAGAGAAAGGGCUCAUGUCUGACUGCCAGUGUUAGCAUAAAGGAGAGCCAUUUUGCCAAGAACAAUACAGCCUGUGGAACUCACCAGAGAAGUGCCCCAGUAACAACCCGACCUGCAUUAUUUGCAAACCAUGACCUGGAUGUUCCGAAGAUAGCAGCCACACAAAAUUCUCCGCCCAUCGAUUUGCUGGGUGAAAUUUGUGGAGGAGGUUUAACUUUGCUUAAAAAAUAAAAUAAGAGUAAAAAACAA
ensembl:lncRNA BCAS3-AS1 BCAS3 antisense RNA 1